AAAGACCAAUGAUGAUCUGUCUGCUUCUUCACACAUCAUUUUAAACGGAACAAUGAUUCCUCUCAUCCCGUUUUUUUACGUCUCUUGUCCUUUUUUGUUUGUAGAAUUUUCGUUAGUUGCAAGUUUUUUCAUUUUUUUUGUCUGUUGUUAUUUUUAUCCCGUUUUUUUUCGUGCCGGACGAUGUACUUCGUUUAGUGUGCUUUCUCGCAAGCAUUACCUUCUACCACCCAACCAACUUCAUCAUAUUAUCCAUCCAUCUCACGAAAGUUUUUU